GUGCCAGCAGCCGCGGUAAUACGUAGGUGGCAAGCGUUGUCCGGAUUUAUUGGGCGUAAAGCGAGCGCAGGCGGUUUCUUAAGUCUGAUGUGAAAGCCUUCGGCUCAACCGAAGAAGUGCAUCGGAAACUGGGAAACUUGAGUGCAGAAGAGGACAGUGGAACUCCAUGUGUAGCGGUGAAAUGCGUAGAUAUAUGGAAGAACACCAGUGGCGAAGGCGGCUGUCUGGUCUGUAACUGACGCUGAGGCUCGAAAGCAUGGGUAGCAAACAGGAUUAGAUACCCUGGUAGUCCAUGCCGUAAACGAUGAGUGCUAGGUGUUGGAGGGUUUCCGCCCUUCAGUGCCGCAGCUAACGCAUUAAGCACUCCGCCUGGGGAGUACGACCGCAAGGUUGAAACUCAAAGGAAUUGACGGGGGCCCGCACAAGCGGUGGAGCAUGUGGUUUAAUUCGAAGCAACGCGAAGAACCUUACCAGGUCUUGACAUCCUUUGACCACUCUAGAGAUAGAGCUUUCCCUUCGGGGACAAAGUGACAGGUGGUGCAUGGUUGUCGUCAGCUCGUGUCGUGAGAUGUUGGGUUAAGUCCCGCAACGAGCGCAACCCUUAUUACUAGUUGCCAGCAUUUAGUUGGGCACUCUAGUGAGACUGCCGGUGACAGACCGGAGGAAGGUGGGGACGACGUCAAAUCAUCAUGCCCCUUAUGACCUGGGCUACACACGUGCUACAAUGGAUGGUACAACGAGUUGCGAGACCGCGAGGUUUAGCUAAUCUCUUAAAACCAUUCUCAGUUCGGAUUGUAGGCUGCAACUCGCCUACAUGAAGCCGGAAUCGCUAGUAAUCGCGGAUCAGCAUGCCGCGGUGAAUACGUUCCCGGGCCUUGUACACACCGCCCGU
rnacentral:rRNA from 1 species